GACGUGAAUCCUGCCAAUAACAGAAAUGAGCUUGAAAGAAGACACCAAGCUCCAGAGACGGAAUGCUUGUUUUGCAAACCCCAACACAUCUUUCACUGUGGACCAUUGCUAUUACUUCAUUACCACAGUUGCUCAGAUCUCAAGGUACUCACGGUCUGAAAUAUAUUUUACAAUUAGAAGGUAUGCACAGGUCAAAAAGAGCAAUCCAAGGGUUAGAAGUCCCCAGUGCCCCACACUGGCUCACUGCCAAGGUGACAGGGUGCAGGCUGUGUGAGCCAGGCACACUUACCCCUCAACUGGGCUUCUGUAGCUUUACAAUUUGGAUAACUAGUUAGCGGACAGUAGUUGGGACAUGUCACAUACAGAUUUGAGUCCUCCAAUAAUGUACACUUUGCCAGGUUUUAUCCCUUUGUUAAAGCAAAUAGAACAGAGAGGGAAUAUAGCUGCCAGUAAAAAUCAUUUCCCCCCUCUUAAUCUCCCAUCCUUCAUCUCCAUGAAACCGACUAUUAAGAUAACCUUUCUCUCUCUGUGCACUAGUGGAAAAAGUAAAGUUCUACAGAAACUCACAGUUAAGAGGGACUCUGAAUACAGCAAGUUAAGGCUUUUAGUGCAAAUAGAAUGAAUUCCCACUAAGGUCAAAAGGUUUCAAUUGGGUACCAUGCUGACUUCUUGAUAUCUUUUAAGGCCUAAUUUUCCCUUCCUUGAGAUUACUGGAGUGUGUUCCAGCUAAUUUCUAUUUGGAAACGAGUUGGAACAGCUGAAAACUAGGUAUUAUUGAAGGCAAAGCAGCCUCACGUCAGUUUUUUAUCAGCUCAUUUGGGAAGUUUUUUUUUUUUUUUUUUUAAUUAAUUAGAAAGUAGGCUGGGCACGGUGGCUCAUGCCUAUAAUCCCAGCACUUGGGGAGGCCGAGGAUCUCCUCCCUGGUGGAUCACUUGAGGGCAGGAGUUAAGAGACCAUCCUGGCCAACAUGGUGAAACCCUGUCUCUACUAAAAAUACAAAAAGUAGCUGGGCGUGGUGGCAUACUCUUACAAUCCCAGCUACUUGGGAGGCUGAGGCAGGAGAAUCACUUGAACCCAGGAAGCAGAGGUUGCAGUGGGCCAAGAUCACACCACUAUACUCCAGCCUGGGCGACAGAGGUGGGGGAAAAAAGUAGGACCCCUGUCCUAUAUUCAGGUUUUUCUCACAUAUAUGAACCCAUCUAAAUUCUACGUUGUUAAAGGUAGCUUAGGUUAAUUAGUCUAUACUUAUUUAAGACCAAUAUGGGGUGAGAUGGAUUUUUUAAAAAAAUCCUAAAGUAAGGCUUUCUACUUUCCUUCUAAUGAGGAAAAAGGUGACAAAAAUUCAAGUGUCAAUGUCCCUUUCCUGGGAAGAGGUUUAGAAAAACAACAGCUCACCUUCUGAACUCUACCAGUUCCUUUUGAAGUUAACGAAGCAUUAGAAUCAGAUGUAAAAAAAAAGAAAAAAAAAGGCAGGGAAAUAUUUACAAAACUGGACAUUCUUUACAGAUAUAAAAUCUUGCUAAUACUGGGAGAACCAUACAAGGAUGUAUAAAGAGAGACAGUCACCUUAGUAAUGCAAGGAUAGAGAAAACCAGGAUAUAAUAUAGUGUUUUUUAUUGCCAGAACAUGGUGAAACUAGGAGGAGCAGAGAUGACCUGAUCCCUGAAGUGAACUGCUCAGCUAUUCUGUGUACCUCAGGAGGUCUGCAAGUGUGUGGUUAGGUAAAAACUGAGCUGUGCAAACUCACUGUAUCCAAGCUCUUCUCAUGAGAGAGCAGAACAACCUGGCAAGCUUAAAGGCAAGUGUUUUCGUUCUUUUAAUUAAAUAGGCUGUGACAAAAUUAACAAAACUAGCCCAGAACCAACCAGCCCGGUAAGUGUCGUGCAAAUCUUGCAGUAACAAAAGACCAUCCGAGAGACUACACGUUGGUCUCCAGUCCUAGCAAGCGUCCCAUUCUCUCCACAUUCUUAUCAAUUGUAGCUUGACAUGUUAUCUCCUUGGCACAUUCCAUAGGAAACCAGCCUCUUUCUCCAUCUCGUAGUCGUUCCCCCUCAUACCAGCCUGUGAAAAAGAACAGAGUCCACACCAAACAACAAGUAUUUGGAGUGUGCCAGGCUCCAAGGAUAUGAAAAAGCUAAGAGGCAGCAUCCCUCCCCAGGCUAAGUGCUACGGUGAGAAGAGAAAGUGGGACAGGGAAAGCUUUCGAGGGGGAAUGAAUGACAUGGCAGGGAAAGAACGUGAGCAGAGGCCCUGAAGUGAGAAGGCUGAGAGUAUUUGAACCUGGGCUGAGCUGGGAAAGGAGAUGCUUUGGGUAAAGGAUAGCAGGAAGAAUGGUAUUUUUGAAAGGACGAAUAUUUAGAGAUAAGAACUAGGUCACUGGGGGACUGGGGAAAAAAGAAAACGUCAUGGUUUAGCCUUAGAGAUGAGAAGACAGUACAUAUAUGUGAUCUCAAACAUUAACAUGUCAAGAUUUGGAAUAUGGGCAAUGAUGACAAAAUGACACUCCUCGGGUCUAUAGCACUCUGCAUCCUGGACCACGAGUGUCCCAUAAGAACGCUCCCACUCACCAUCGCUGACACGUUGAUAGAUGAGGACGACGUCAGCCACCUGCAGGGAGAGUUCAUCUGGCUGCUUAGCAGUAAAUGACCUAAC
rnacentral:lncRNA from 1 species